AACAUACUCCCUCCGUCUGGAAAUACUUGUCAUCAAAAUGGAUGAAAAUGGAUGUAUCUAGAACUAAAAUACAUCUAGAUACAUCCAUUUCAAUGACAAGUAUUUCCGGACGGAGGGAGUACUAA
rnacentral:pre_miRNA from 1 species